GCGAGUUGCAAGACUCCCAAACCAUUGUGAACCUACCAUACCGUUCCUUCGGCGGGCGGCCGCGCCCUAACCUUGCCGCCCCUCGCGGGCUGGCGGACCCGCCGGAGGCCCUGAACCCUUAGCUUAUUUGGCACCUCUGAGUACUAUUCUCAAUGAGUAA
rnacentral:misc_RNA from 1 species